rnacentral:lncRNA from 1 species
CAAGGUGCUUCUCCCCACGAAGGGACUGUACCUGGCGGCGUGCCAGGAACCCUCGCGCUGCCGCCUGAAGCCGCACCGCUGCUUGGAGUUCCUUCUCUGUCUUCUCCUUGUAGCGGUGGAACAUCACAACGAAUUGAUCCCACUUUUCUUCGAGCCGAGUGAAUGCAUCUAGAGUUGGAGAGGGCGGGUGGGAGGUCGUUGCGGCGGCAUAUGGCGCGGCGGCUGGUGGUGGUGAGGGAUGGGCGGCUGGUGGUGGUGAGGAUAACCUGGAGCUGAUACCAGGUGUCAUGGACCUUCGGUCCAUGGGGAUAGCUGUCUUCUCCGGCGAGGUUAUACCCCUCUGCCGCAGGCUUGGUUCUAGGGUAGCAGCCCUAGGCGCUUGAGAGGGUCAUUGCAAGAGAGAGAGAGAUUGGUUUGAUAAUGAUCUUUGCUUGAUUUAUUCCCUGCUGCCAUGCGGCUUAUAAAUAGCCCUAUGGCUAACCAACUUCUCCUACAAACUCUCAACUAACUCCUACUUUCUUGGACUUAUCUGAUGCUAACCAACUCUCCACAAUUCUCUCAUCUCAAUCUUAUUCUCUAGCCUUAUCCCAGCUAAUCUUAAUCUUAUUCUCUAGCCUUAUCCCAGCCUGGUUGUUGCCUCUCGCUCCCUAUGAUGCCCAUGACAGGUGUCAUGGACCUUCGGUCCAUGGGGAUAGCUAUCUUCUCCGGCGAGGUUAUACCCCUCUGCCGCAGGCUUGGUUCUAGGGUAGCAGCCCUAGG